CAUUUCCGGCUCUUUUUCUAAACUGAGUUGCCGUCAAGAAAAGAAGAAUAUACUUAAGUCUAAACCAAACACUUUUACGCCUAUCGUUACUCUGAGGUAACGUUGAAAUAAAAGUGAAAUUCCAGAUCAUGCUGGCGUAUGUUGUGCUGAUCGAGUGGCAGCAAGCCUCCAGAUUUCACUUUUUGGAGGAUUCAACGUUUCGCACGAGGUAUCUCCGCAUUGCUUAGCGACAGCAAGCAAAAGUUUUCGGCCCAGUCCGGGAUUGAAUUCCCGUCGCGAAGCGUGCACCGACCGGCAAUGUGCGGCGGCAUGACGGCGACGUAGUC